UGGUUCUGGGGGCUCCUUCAGUAAGAAUUGUCAGCAAGAACAGGAGUGCAACUUCAACAAAAACCCAAUAGGUUUUGAUAAUGACCACGUGCAACUCAAGGCGGACGUUUUAUUUCAUAAUCUGCAAGACAGAGAGCAAGAUCACCAAGUUAGUUUUACGCAACAAGACUUGAUUGGGUCAUUCUCCCUUUUAAAUAUUUUCACAUGUACAAGGAAGUACGUGCACUCCUCGACUUUCUUUGUAGCAUUUAUUUUUAUCAUUACUUUAGCAUCAUCAUUUGUAAUAUCAGUAUGUUAUAAACUCUGAUUAUUUGGUCAUUUCAAGCUCUUAUUUUUACAUGCUUGUUACGAAAGGGGCUGGUGUUAUAUUAGCUAAAAGGAGAUAAGGAAAAACAAACGAUGUGAUGCUAGACCAAGGAAGCGGUAAUGUAGGGUUAACUAAUUAAGACGACUUAACCGCUUGAAUAUAUCCUGUAACAACCCAAUUCUUCACUGCAUUAAUAAGAACUAGACACCACUACAACUUUGAAACAGUAAUAGAAACACUCACUCCACUUAAUUACAAUGGAAAAUACAGAAUAACAAGUAAUUAGGGACAGCAAGAAUGAGGAUGAGGGCUUACACUAAGAGAAUGGAGAUGAGGUAUCAGACUCUUUACUCAACAAUAUGUAUGCCUUUCUUUGCCCCAAACUCUGCUAUUCUUUGCAUCUCACAUGCUUUACAUGGGAAAAUAGGUUCGUAACAACCUUUCAGUAGAAGCAUAAAAAGCAAGAGACUAAAUACGAUAAUAGCUAAUUAUAAUCAUAUACAACGACAAAGAUACCCAGUAUACUCCCACAAAGUGGGGUCUGACAAAUGCUUUCAUUGAGAGACGAACUCAAGACCUCCUGCUUACUAAACGGGUGCUCUAACCAACUUAGCUAUGAAAGCUGUUAAGUAUUUAGUGGGAAUAGAUCCUAAGACCUUUAGGAAAAUAACUCAACUGCUAUUAUAAUCAUAUCUAUAAUUGAAAAAGUAACAACUAUAACUUCAAAUAAUAGUGAAAAUUGUUGGAGGUAUGUAGAGAGUAACAUGGAGCUAAACAGCAUCUCAGUUAUUUCUCAAGCGAACUAACUUGAUACUUACAUGGAUUCACGAAACUGAAGAAGCAUAAGAUAUUUUACCUAUAGUAUGAGAUAUGAAGAAAAUUUAGGUCUCUCCAAUGCCACACUCGAUAGUAGCUGAAGAAGCUGCUUUUCGACAUCAUAAGAAUGUGAUGCCAAUCAGAUAUACACCCCCCAC
rnacentral:lncRNA from 1 species